rnacentral:rRNA from 1 species
GAAUCCAGCUUCACGAAGUCGGGUUGCAGACUUCGAUCCGAACUGAGAGAGGCUUUUGGGAUUAGCAUCCUGUCACCAGGUAGCUGCCUUCUGUACCCCCCAUUGUAACACGUGUGUAGCCCCGGACGUAAGGGCCGUGCUGAUUUGACGUCAUCCCCACCUUCCUCACAUCUUACGACGGCAGUCUCUCUAGAGUCCUCAGCAUGACCUGUUAGUAACUAAAGAUAAGGGUUGCGCUCGUUAUGGCACUUAAGCCGACACCUCACGGCACGAGCUGACGACAACCAUGCAGCACCUUCACAUUUGCCUUACGGCUAUACUGUUUCCAAUAUAUUCAAAUGCAAUUUAAGCCCGGGUAAGGUUCCUCGCGUAUCAUCGAAUUAAACCACAUGUUCCUCCGCUUGUGCGGGCCCCCGUCAAUUCCUUUGAGUUUCACCGUUGCCGGCGUACUCCCCAGGUGGAAUACUUAAUGCUUUCGCUUGGCCGCUUACUGUAUAUCGCAAACAGCGAGUAUUCAUCGUUUACUGUGUGGACUACCAGGGUAUCUAAUCCUGUUUGAUACCCACACUUUCGAGCAUCAGUGUCAGUUGCAGUCCAGUGAGCUGCCUUCGCAAUCGGAGUUCUUCGUGAUAUCUAAGCAUUUCACCGCUACACCACGAAUUCCGCCCACCUCUACUGUACUCAAGACAGCCAGUAUCAACUGCAAUUUUACGGUUGAGCCGCAAACUUUCACAACUGACUUAACUGUCCACCUACGCUCCCUUUAAACCCAAUAAAUCCGGAUAACGCUCGGAUCCUCCGUAUUACCGCGGCUGCUGGCACGGAGUUAGCCGAUCCUUAUUCAUAUGGUACAUACAAAAUUCCACACGUGGAAAACUUUAUUCCCAUAUAAAAGAAGUUUACAACCCAUAGGGCAGUCAUCCUUCACGCUACUUGGCUGGUUCAGGCCUGCGCCCAUUGACCAAUAUUCCUCACUGCUGCCUCCCGUAGGAGUUUGGACCGUGUCUCAGUUCCAAUGUGGGGGACCUUCCUCUCAGAACCCCUAUCCAUCGAAGGUUUGGUGAGCCGUUACCUCACCAACUGCCUAAUGGAACGCAUCCCCAUCGAUAACCGAAAUUC